GACGAACGCUGGCGGCGUGCUUAACACAUGCAAGUCGAACGGAAAGGCCCCUUUGGGGGUACUCGAGUGGCGAACGGGUGAGUAACACGUGAGUAACCUGCCCUUGACUUCGGGAUAACUUCAGGAAACUGGGGCUAAUACCGGAUAGGAAUCCUUGCUGCAUGGUGGGGGUUGGAAAGCUUCGGCGGUUUUGGAUGGACUCGCGGCUUAUCAGCUUGUUGGUGGGGUAGUGGCUUACCAAGGCUUUGACGGGUAGCCGGCCUGAGAGGGCGACCGGCCACAUUGGGACUGAGAUACGGCCCAGACGCCUACGGGAGGCAGCAGGGGGGAAUAUUGCACAAUGGGCGGAAGCCUGAUGCAGCAACGCCGCGUGCGGGAGGACGGCCUUCGGGUUGGAAACCGCUUUCAGCAGGGGCGAAGCUUGUGGUGACGGCACCUGCAGAAGAAGCACCGGCUAACUACGUG
rnacentral:rRNA from 1 species